UGCGCAGGUGGCCAAGUGUGUGAAGCGUGAAAGCCCGGAGCUCAACUCCGGAAUUGCACCUCAAACUACAUGGCUAGAGCAUUGGAGAGGGGAGCAGAAUUCACGGUGUAGCAGUGAAAUGCGUAGAUAUCGUGAGGAAUACCAGAGGCGAAGGCGGCUCCCUGGACAAUUGCUGACACUCAGGCACGAAAGCGUGGGGAGCAAAAGGGAUUAGAUACCCCUGUAGUCCACGCCCUAAACGGUGCACACUAGGUCUUGGCGGAUUCGACCCCCCCAGGGCCCAAGCUAACGCGUUAAGUGUGCCGCCUGAGGACUACGGCCGCAAGGCUAAA
rnacentral:rRNA from 1 species